GGCCUAUGAUGAUAACUUUUAAGGCUUGUUUCUCUAAACAUUCGCAGUGGCCGCCUAAGAGCUUUCGCCUUCGCCGGACUUGAGAGCUAUUGCUGCUUUAAUCCUUCCUUGGAUGUCUGAGGCC
rfam:Gossypium hirsutum cultivar TM-1 unplaced genomic scaffold scaffold526.1, whole genome shotgun sequence